rnacentral:rRNA from 1 species
GACGAACGCUGGCGGCGUGCUUAACACAUGCAAGUCGAACGAUGACGACCGAGCUUGCUCGGUCUGAUUAUUGGCGAACGGGUGAGUAACACGUGAGCAACCUGCCCUUCACUCUGGGAUACCCUCUUGAAAUCGGGGCUAAUACCGGAUAUGAGCUCCUGUCGCAUGGCGGGUGUUGGAAAGUUUUUCGGUGUAGGAUGGGCUCGCGGCCUAUCAGUUUGUUGGUGAGGUAGUGGCUCCCCAAGGCGAUGACGGGUAGCCGGCCUGAGAGGGCGACCGGCCACACUGAGACUGAGGCACAGCCCAGACUACUACAGGAGGCAGCAGUGAGGGAUAUUGCACAAUGGGCGAAAGCCUGAGGCAGAGACGCCGCGUGAGGGAUGACGGCCUUCGGGUUGUAAACCUCUUUCAGCAGGGAAGAAGCGAAAGUGACGGUACCUGCAGAAGAAGCGCCGGCUAACUACGUG